AUGCGCUCGUUGCUGUUGUGCUGCUCCUGCACAGGGUGUGGGCCUUGCCAGUUUGGGACAAACGUCUUCUGCUCCGGUUCCGGGUUUUGCCGUUUCCUACUGGUUCCAUCUUGCUGCCCUUCCAUAGCCUGGGUCAUUCAUACCAGCUAGCAGGCCAGGAGUCUUCAAUCUGUUUUGAUUACCUGUGUUUGUACUUACUUCCUGAUCCCCUUACCAAAGAUGGCCGGGGGCAGCACCCGAGAGCUGAGGGGAAAGAUCAGCUUUGGGUGCCGGCAUCGCAGGCGCCCA